ensembl:lncRNA platelet endothelial cell adhesion molecule-like
UGACUUGAUACAACAACAAUGUAUGACAGACAUCAAAGAACAAACACAGGCUGCAUUGGUGCAACAACACUUAUGUAUAUUGAUUAUAUUAGUGCAGUACAUUGGUCAUUUAUGUAGAUGUUCUCUGCAAUCCUCUAUCUUGAGUUGUCGUUCGCACUGGCAUCUGCCCUAUCUGUCCUCAACACAUGUGCUGUUUGGGGUGGGUCUCACUGUGUCUAUGUCAAACUGCUUUUACUGCUCCAUUAAUAAUAAAGUUCUUGCUCUGGUGCUUGCAUUUGGAUAUUGUGCUAAUUUCUUCAGCAAGGAUGGAAUCGAUGCAUCUUACACUCAUUCUCAUAGGUAUUUCGGUUUUGCAUCCAAGGAUGGAUGCUCUAGAAAAGCUUGAUGAACCGGUUCUGUUGGGUCCGUCUGCUGCAUUAGAAGGUUCAGUUGUGGAUUUCUUCUGUGAUAUUCCUGAGAAACCGGCAACGUUGUCUGUCCAAUAUGAGCUUUAUGUCGAGACAAACCCGGGUAAGAUGAUUGGGGAGUACUCCUCGCUGUCUGGAGAACUUGCCACUUUUUCUUUGAUAAUCACCGAAGAACAUGAUGGUCGACUCAUCUGCAAGGCCAGCGGACACAAUGACACCGAUAUCGACAGCUCGUUCAGUAAUGGCAUGGACUUCAGAGUCAUUGUUCCAGUGAAGGAACUGAGCAUCAUUUCACAUCCUUACAUUGAGAACAUAUGGGAAGGACAAACUUUGACCCUCCAGUGCACAAAAACCAAAGGAACAUACGUCUCCUAUGAUUGGCUCUGGAACGACACACCGGUUCAGAUGCCGUACGACAGGAAUAACGAUACUCUGACCAUCCACAGGGUUUCUGCACAAAAUGCAGGCAAUUACAUGUGUGUGGCAUCAAACCAAUACAACGACACAACGAUCUUCAACUCCAGCAGUGAUGUGACUGUGUCCAUCCUAGAAUAUGUGUCAAAGCCUGAAUUCUCCUUUGAUGUUGUGAAGCUUGAUGAUGGAGGUUAUAAAGCCAUCAUCACGUGUCAGUCUAAGAAAGGAACGCCGCUCAACACCUUUAGCCUGUUGAACCACACUGACCUCAUCGCCACCGAAACGACUGACACAACCAGUGCGAUCUUUAACAUGCCCAUCGAGCUGAACCGUUACAUGGGACAAAUGAAAUGUAACGCCAGCAACGAGGGCAACUGGGUUCUGAGUGACCCGUACAGCUUGACCGUGGAGUCUGUAGGAGGUGCUGUAACGGUGACGCCCUUCAAACAAGUGGGUCUGGACUUCCAGGUGGUCAAUGUGGAACUGCACUGUAAGGUGGAGCGGGGAACGUUUCCACAGUACAGCUGGUUCCUCAACGACAGCAGGCUGCUGGGCCAAGGAGGUUUCUACGCAGACAAAUUCGUUCUGUCUCUGUCUGUAGGCCGAGACAGCGCUGGAUUCUACCACUGCCAAGCUUCAGACAGAUUCGACAACAGCACCAGCAUCCGCAGCCCAAAGAUGCUGAUCAGUAAAGAGGCACUGAACACAGUCUCUCCUUUGGUUGUGAUUGUUGUUUUCACCUCUUUUGCCCUGCUGAACGUCGCUGUGAUAACUUGCUGUAUUUAUGGAGUUGUGCUACGGAGAAGAUAUUCAAGACAAUACCUACUCACUGAACAACGCCGAAAAAUGAGAAUCACAGAUAAACAGGAAGAUGAAGAAGAGGAGGAUGAAGAUUAUCUAAUGUUGGAGGGUUAUGAGGAAGACGUUGUCCAAGCGGACAGAUUGAGUGACUCUGCUGAGGAUGAAGACCAAUCCGUGGAUGAAAGCGUUCUGUAUGAAGGCGCGGUUUCAGAAUGAUUCCUGGGUUUUCUGGGAGUUUAAUCAGAUCCACUGAAACUGAAAGCAUUUGGUUGCCUUCACUUAUCCGUUGCAUGUUAUUCUGUUCAGACAAAGGUUUAUUCAAAACGAAACAAUAGACAAGCGCUCAUGGGUUGACAUGACUGUGACCAAUCAGAAGCAAAGACAGCCAACAAUGUGUCUACUGUCAGAUUCAUGUCAAAUAAUAGUGUGUUUGUACCUACUUAACUGUAUUUUGGAGACAAAUUCCCUGCUGAAAAAAACAAUAGAAACCAUCACAUAAAUGUUUAAUGGUUUCCACUACAAAUACCAUUACAAACCAUCAACUUUUAACCAUUAAAACCAUUAAAAAUGGUUUUCUGUAGUGUGUUUUGGGACAUAUUCCAUUAGGGUUUAGGGGUUUUAACAAGCCACCAAUAAAAGGCGACCAAUAACCAGUAGAAGUCCCACCAUAACCAAUAAAACCAUUACAAAUGUUGUAAUGGUGUCUAUUGUUUUUUCAGCAGCGUGGUACCAAAUGAGCUAAACCUGACAAAACCUGCUUUGGGGAUGUCCUCAUUUGUAAAAAUGUGAAAUUUUCAGAAAAUGUGCUGUUAGAUUAUAAUAUUUGUAUUUAGCCAGCUGUAUGUGUGAACAAUAGAAGUAUAUGCAGUUAAACAAGUAAAUGUGUGUGUGUGUGUUUGUGUGUGUGGUUUUGAGGAAGUGAAAAUUACAAAUAAAUACAAAAAUAUGUUUUGAUAAAGCCAACAGUGUACAAUGUUCAUUUUAAUGACAAAUGAAU